rnacentral:rRNA from 1 species
CCUACGGGUGGCAGCAGUGAGGAAUAUUGGUCAAUGGCCGUAAGGCUGAACCAGCCAAGUCGCGUGAAGGAAGAAGGAUCUAUGGUUUGUAAACUUCUUUUAUAGGGGAAUAAAGGUAUCCACGUGUGGAUCUUUGCAUGUACCUUAUGAAUAAGCAUCGGCUAACUCCGUGCCAGCAGCCGCGGUAAUACGGAGGAUGCGAGCGUUAUCCGGAUUUAUUGGGGUUAAAGGGUGCGUAGGUUGUUUUUUAAGUCAGCGGUGAAAGUUUGUGGCUCAACCAUAAAAUUGCCGUUGAAACUGGAAGACUUGAGUUGGGGUGAGGUAGGCGGAAUGCGUGGUGUAGCGGUGAAAUGCAUAGAUAGCACGCAGAACUCCGAUUGCGAAGGCAGCUUACUGAGCCAUAACUGACGCUGAAGCACGAAAGCGUGGGUAUCAAACAGGAUUAGAUACCCGUGUAGUC